AGAUCUAUAAAGAAAAGGAGCAAGCUUCACAAAGAGAAAGACAAAAUAAACAGUUUGAGGAGAAAAGGAGCACCAGGAAGUGUAAUGGAGCUAGAUCUAGUGCUCAAUGACAUAAAGACUUUAAAGAAAAGCCUGAUGCUAAAUGGGAUAAAGGGAGCAGUGAACCCUGGGAAAUACUCUACACUGCCAAGCUUUUAACUUGUGAAAAGGAAUUAAAGAGACACUUAAGCAGUGAAGGGAACCAACAGCAGCUGGAAGCUAACACAGACAUAAUUCUAGAAGAGGGCAACGUUCUAGCCCUAGCAGAUUCAAAAUGCUUUUCUGAAGAUGUAAUGGAGAAGCACCCAAAGCAUUGCAUUUUAAAUAUUUUCAUUGUUAAUAUGUAAAAAUGUUUUUGAAGAUAGAGAAAAUGAUUGUAGUAUCCUGAAAGUGUAAUAUAAUCUACUCAAUCAACAUAAAGGGAUUUCACUGCUUAGAUAGGUAGCUAUUGAAACAAUAUAUCUUGAUAAAUAACCUACUUGUAAAAAAUGAAUGUUUUCAUUUAGUAUUUGUGAUGCUUUAAAAGAAAACAGGUAGCUAAUGUUUUUCUUCAUUUUAGUUGCAUGUAAAUGACUGUUGAAAUAAUGAUGUCUUUAGUUUCAUUUGUUUGAAAUAUAUUCUUCUCUUAAUCC
rnacentral:lncRNA from 1 species